rnacentral:tRNA from 1 species
GAGGGUGUAGCUCAGUGGUAGAGCGCGUGCUUAGCGUGCACGAGGUCCUGGGUUCGAUCCCUGGUACCUCCA